AAACUUAAUUGGCGCUAGGCUUGAGUGAUCACGAAAGCCCAGGCCACCAAUGGAGGCUUGCCAUUGCACUCCAGAGUGUUGAAGCCUGCGACGAUCCCUAAUUGGACUCGCUCGGACACGUAGUUUUUGUGAAAACAGCUUUG
rnacentral:snRNA from 15 species